rnacentral:rRNA from 1 species
UACGUAGGGUGCGAGCGUUGUCCGGAAUUAUUGGGCGUAAAGAGCUUGUAGGCGGUUUGUCGCGUCUGCUGUGAAAAUCCGGGGCUCAACUCCGGAUCUGCGGUGGGUACGGGCAGACUAGAGUGAUGUAGGGGAGACUGGAAUUCCUGGUGUAGCGGUGAAAUGCGCAGAUAUCAGGAGGAACACCAACGGCGAAGGCAGCACUCUGGGCCGGUACUGACGCUGAGGAGCGAAAGCGUGGGGAGCAAACAGG